rnacentral:rRNA from 1 species
UACGUAGGGGGCAAGCGUUGUCCGGAUUUAUUGGGCGUAAAGAGCGUGUAGGCGGCCUGAAAGGUCAGCUGUGAAAACUCGAGGCUCAACCUCGAGACGUCGGUUGAAACCAUCUGGCUAGAGUCCGGAAGAGGAGUGUGGAAUUCCCGGUGUAGCGGUGAAAUGCGCAGAUAUCGGGAAGAACACCCGUGGCGAAGGCGGCCUGCUGGGCAGUAGCUGACGCUGAGGCGCGACAGCGUGGGGAGCAAACAGG